rnacentral:rRNA from 1 species
UAAUACGUAGGAUGCAAGCGUUGUCCGGAAUUAUUGGGCGUAAAGAGCGCGCAGGCGGUUUUUCAAGUCAGAUGUGAAAUAUCCGGGCUUAACCCGGAGGGGUCAUUUGAAACUGAGAGACUAGAGUACAGCAGAGGAUAGCGGAAUUCCCGGUGUAGUGGUGAAAUGCGUAGAUAUCGGGAGGAACACCAGUGGCGAAGGCGGCUAUCUGGGCUGAAACUGACGCUGAGGCGCGAAGGCUAGGGGAGCAAACAGGAUUAGAUACCCUGGUAGUCCUAGCAGUAAACGAUGGAUACUAGGUGUUGGGGGAAAUUGACCCCCUCAGUGCCGCAGUUAACACAAUAAGUAUCCCGCCUGGGGAGUACGGUCGCAAGAUUA